UGGUAAAAAUUUUAUCUAUUUCUACGGUUAAAAACAGUCGUAACUGAUGGAAUAAUCGGAUAAUUACAUGUGGCCUACUACAUAUAUAUACCUCGUACUGAUGUACAGAGAUUAAUUUUUAACAAUAGAAAUUGAUUAAAUUUUUAACA
rfam:Gossypium hirsutum cultivar TM-1 chromosome 20, whole genome shotgun sequence